GAGUAUCUGGGACUAUGCUUUUAAUUAUGCACUAAUACACAUUGAAAUGCUAAGUAAAACGGCCCAGUCACAUGUAAAUUGUUGCUGAUGUUUCCCUAUUUCAUAGAAUUGUUUGAGUUAUUUUUUAAUCAAAGAAAGGUUUUUUGUUUUGUUUUUUUUUUAGUGUUUAUUUUUUAACACUGUAGGCCUACAGAUUAAGGAUGGCAAAUUGUGGAUUUGGAUCUUAUCCAAAGAGUAUAGUGUCCCUUUAAUAAUUGGAAAUAUUUGUUUAUUGUUUAUUAUGUUCAUGACCCUGUGCUAAGUGGGAUAAAGAAAGUAUGCCAUUCCUGUCCCCAAGGAGUUCUGGGUAGUUAGAGAGGCAAAAUACAGAUUCAUAAAAAGUAAAAAUCACAAGAUGAGAGAUGUCAAAUGUAGAAUUGAGAAUGCAGAUUCUAAGUGAUAGGGGUUUCCAGGAAGGAAAGAUUAGUGGUGUGGUAGAAGCUAGUUUUUAAAGAAGGGAGUACCUGGCUUGAACUUGUAACGUAGAUGCUAUUUUGGUAGGUGAAAGGAAAGUAGAGGCUCUUCCAUCUAAAGAAAAUAGUGUAAAAGAAGCGUGGAGAUGGAAUACAAGUGGCAUGGCCAGAGGGCAGUAAAAGCCCUGCCUGUAGAGUAGUCCCUCUCUUAUCCACUGAGGGUAUGUUCCAAGAUCCCCAGUGGAUGCCUGAAACCAUGGAUAGGACCUGCUGAAUGAACCCUAUAUAAGCUAUGUUUUCCCCCCAGAUAUACAUACCUGUGAUAAAGAGUAAUUUAUAAAUUGGGCACAGUAAGAGAGUAAUAACAACAUAAUAAAAUAGAACAAUUAUAACAAUAUGUUGUAAUAAAAGUUAUGUGAAUGUGGUCUCUCUCUAUAUCUCAAAAUAUCUUAUUGUAUUAUACCAUGGGCAACAGAAAUAGAGAAAGUGAAACUGCUCAUCGCAAAACUGCCAAUAAGAGGGGACUGCUGUAUUUGAAAGUUAAUGUUUGAAGCCAAACUGUGGAAGUCAUUGAGAACCAAACUGAUGCAUUUGGAUUCUCUCAUGUAUGUAAAGAAGUGUCACUCAAGGUUUUUGAGCCAAAAGUGAUGUGAGGAAAUAGGUACCUUAGUCUCAGAGGCAUGGUAAGGAAUAUAGUGUGGAGAUAGUAAGACAGGAUGGGAAGCGUUUGCAAUAAUCCAGACAUGUGAUAAGUGUCUUCAGAAGUUCAUGGCACUAGAUAUGAACUAAAGCAAUAAUUUGAUGUUGCUUAGGGAAAGUAGCAUUACUGUCAUUAGCCACACAUUCUUUACAGAAGUUUAUAUUGUUACGUUUUGGAAUUCUGCAUCUGGUAGGUCCAAGGUAGUUUGUUGUUAGAAGUAGCAGGAUCGCCUUAAUAAUAAUAAUAGUUUUGUAGCAUGAAGCCUGAGCAUUGUCCAAAGUUUGGAAAUGUGAAUGCUGAUAGUCACAUCUGUCCAUCUUUCCACAUUUCUAGGAUGCUGACAGACAGCACCAAGAAGUAAUUGCAAUUUAUCGGACACACCUUCUUAGUGCUGCACAGGGUCACAUGGAUGAAGAUGUUCAGGAGGCUCUGCUCCAGAUCAUACAAAUGCGGCAGGGGCUUGUGUGCUAGCAGUUAGCACUGACUGCCAGUAUCUGUUUUAUCUUGCUGGUGCUGAACAUUCUUUGUGCAACUCCAUGGUCUUUCUGGGCCUUACUGUGCUGGUAUAAUUAAAAUAAAAUAUAUUUUGUUCU
rnacentral:sRNA from 1 species